AUGACUGCAGGUUCUUCUUCAGGUUCCUCAGGUUCUGCAACAACAGCAGGCUCCUCUGGGACUGACUCCUCUGUUUCUUCUUCACCUCCCAUCUCAAGUUCUACAGAAACAAGGACUACAGAUUCCUCCUCUUCUGAUACACUUGGAAGAGUCUCCUCUAUGGUAUCAGGGAUGUCUUCGGCAUUUUCUUCUGACACUACAACAGGCUCCUCCUCAGCUUCUUCUGGUUCCUCUUCAGCAGGUCCCAAAGGAACAAUGCCAGCCACAUCUUCUGCAGUGUCCUCUGCAGCAGCUUCUACCUCCUCUUCAGCCUCUGCAGGAACAACAGCCACAGCCUCUUCCACUGAAUACUCCUCUUCAUUGGCUUCUGGAGAAACAACUAGAGCUGUUUCUUGUGUUUGCUCUGGAGCUGGCUCUUCAGCAGAGUCAACAGAGUCCAUAACAACAUUAUCUGGAGCUGCUUCUUCUUCUUCAGCAGGGUCUACAGGAACAGCAACAACAGGAUCCUCUGGAGCAGUCUCCUCUGGUGCUGUGUCAUCUGCAGCCUCUUCCAUUUGUGUGGCUUCUUCUUCCUCAGGUACUGCAGGGAUCAGGAUAACAGAUGUCUCUUCCUCUGGUGUGCUCUGAAGAGGUUCUUGAGACUCAGUAGGUUCAGCAGCUGCAUUGUCAACAGUGUCUAUCAGUAAUGUCUCCUCUACAGUGUCCUCUGAAGCCUCGUCUUCUGGAUCUUCAGCAGGAAUUAUUGGGACUGCUGCUUCUGGAGCUUCUUCUACAUCUGCUUCAGUGUUCUCUACAGCAACAACAGCUUCUACCUCUGCUUCUUCCUCUGGAGCCUCAUCUUCUGAAGUGUCUAAGGGAAUGACUUGUGCUUCUGGACCUGGAUCCUCCUCAUCUUGUUCUGAAGACUCACUGUCUACAGCCGAGGCAACCUCAGCUGUAGCUUCAUCUUGAGAGUCCUCUGAUAAGGUAUCUUCUAUGGGGGCAGGUUCCUCCUCAGGAGAUUCUUGUGGCUCCUGAGUGUCUGACUGCUGAGAUACUUCUGCUUCUGUUUCAACAUCUGGAAUGGCUUCUUCAGGAGGUGGCUCAUCAGGAGAUGCAGCCUCUUCACCUGCAGCAGCUGGAAUGUGUUUCUCCUCAUCUGAUUCUUUUGCCUCUACUGGCAUGAGCUCCUCUGGACCUGGUUCUUCUGCAGCAACUUCAGCUGCUGCAAGCGAAGUUUAAGAGUUAGUACCAGUAGGUUACCGGUGCCAUUAGUGGCAUAACAUUUAUGAUAACACAUUUACCAGUUUCCCAUUGUAUAUUUUAUCCUGAGUGAAACCAAAACCAUGGCACCAUGAAAAGGUCUGAGGCUCAGCACAGCUAAACCAAACGUGGUGUCACAUUUGAGGAUGAGUGAUUACGUAAUGUUAAGGACCUUUGCGGCAAGCUGAUGCAUGACACGAAGAGAGUGUAAUGAUCCAAGUUUAGUUCAAAUGUCUGUCAUGGUAUCACACUAACAGGUGCAGGUGUACCAUUCAACAGGCCGAGUAUUUUCAGUGCAGUUUGGUUGUUAAUCACAUCUCAGCAUUCGAGCAGCAGGAACUUUAUUCUUGAUUUACUGGGGUUACAGAGGUCAGGUUCCAAAACCGAGGGCAUAUAUUUUUUAUUAAUCAUAAUACCUAAAGCUGCUUUUGCCUUUCCCACUGUUUGUGUUGACUCAUAGUCCACCUAUUAUAUAACAUCAUACUCAAGUUUGGCCUUAUUAAACACAUUUGCAUAUUUAAUUAAAUCACUCCAGUACAGUGUCAAAAAUAAACAAAAACUAAUGAAAUUACUUCCA
rnacentral:lncRNA from 1 species